rnacentral:tRNA from 1 species
UGGGUCUUGGUGUAAUGGUAACACAAGGGAUUUUGGUUCCCUCGUUGUGGGUUCGAGUCCCGCAGACCCAA